rnacentral:ribozyme from 1 species
CUUUAUUCCUUUUUCGCUCUUUUGCUUUGUUUGAUUACUAUAAUUACAGAUGCCAUGCAUUCAUCGAUCAAAUAAAAACUGAAAACUCGUAAAUAAAUUUCCU